UCAAUGUGGACCAUGUGGCUGAGAUGCUCAGGACCAUCGACUUCCAGACAGACCCCCUGGGUGAGGAGGAGGCUGAGGGGCCCCUGGGCCUGGAUGGUGGUGACGUGGCAGGCGAGGACCAGCGGCUGGAUGGAUCGGAUGGACUGGAGGGGCCAGAAGAUGCGGGACCCAGGCAGAAGCUGGUGAGCUCCCGGCAUGGCCAGCACUGAGCAUGUUGCAGCAGGACGGGGUUGUGGAGCUACCAGCUCAUGAGCGUGAACCCAGACCUGGCAUCACCAGCCAUGGAUCCUACCCUGCUCACUACUGCCCCCUCCUGCUCCUCCACCCCUCCCCACACCUUUUUUUUUUAUAGUUCAUGAACCUUGGAGUUGGCAUGGUCGCCUGUUGGUUUAUUAAACACGUGUGAACAUCCG
rnacentral:lncRNA from 1 species